GAUGAAGAACGUAGCGAAAUGCGAUAAGUAGUGUGAAUUGCAGAAUUCAGUGAAUCAUCGAAUCUUUGAACGCACAUUGCGCCCUUUGGUAUUCCUUAGGGCAUGCCUGUUCGAGCGUCAUUUAAACCUUCAAGCUCAGCUUGGUGUUGGGUGACUGUCCGCUUCACCGCGGACUCGCCUCAAAAUUAUUGGCGGCCGGUACAUUGGCUCUCGAGCGCAGCAGAAACGCGUAACUCGAGGUCCUCGUGCUGGCUCCCAGUAGCUAUCUUCACAAUUUUGACCUCGGAUCAGGUAGGGAUACCCGCUGAACUUAAGCAUAUCAAUAAGCGGAGGA
rnacentral:misc_RNA from 1 species